rnacentral:lncRNA from 1 species
GGGAGUGGCAGUAAAUUCCUGAAUUAGAGUUACGACAGUAAUAUUGGUUGCUUGACAUAACAGUGUCAAGACUCCAUAGGUAAUUUAUGUUGAGGGAGAAAAAGGUAUCAAAUCUAAUCUCAUUCAUAUACUUUAGUCUUUUGAAAAAUAUGAUGCCAUAAUCAGAAACUGAAUGAUAAGGUUAGUGUAGAUUACAAAUUCACUUUUUGUACACGUUGAAAUCUAAUGGGAUAGCCACACAGAACGCACCCAGCAUAGAGUUGGAAGUGUACAUCUGGAGAUCAGCCAAAACACAGUGGCAUACAGGUGGAAGCUAUAGGAAGAGCUGGCAUCAAAAAGGGAGUGUUGAGGAAGAAGGACAUUUUGACAGGGGAGGGUAGUGGAUGCAUUUUAUGAAGCUGAAAAAGAACUGUAACUAGUAGUAGUUGGUACAGUAGUGGAAACAGAGGGUUCUAGCAACCAAGAAGACCCACUUAUCAAGAGAAUUGAAGACUCAGCUCGAUUAAUUCAUGCAAAAGCACCUGAGGGAUGAGAAGGGGAAAAAGUGAUUAAUUUCAUUUUUAAGAGAUCAUUAGUGACCUUUUAAAGUCAAUUUUAGGCUGGGCAUGGAGCCACAUGCUUGUAAUCACAGCACCUUUGGAGAUUGAGGCAGGAUCACAAGUUCAAGCCUCAGCAUCUUAGCAAAACCCUAUCUCAAAUUAAAAAAUAAAAAUGAUAUAUGGAGAAUUGGUUAAGUGGGAAUCAGAAAAGAAUGCAUAUGAGGGAUUUCACAAUAAAAACUGACGGGUUUUGUCUAUUUACUUAACACAUGCUUAUAGAUCACAUACAACAUUUGAAGCUUUUUUUAAAAAUUAACUUAUUUAGCCAGGUGUGGUGGCUCUCACCUGUAAUCCCAGCAGCUCAGGAGGCUGAGACAGUAGGAUUAUGAGUUCAAAGACAGCCUCAGCAAUUCAGUGAAACCCUGUCUCAAAAUAAAAUAUAAAAAAAGCCUGGGAUGUGGCUUGGUGGUUAAGCACCUCUGGGUUCAAUCUCCAGUGCCCCUCCCCCUGCAAAUUACCUGAUUUAAUUCUCCGUAACCACAGUAUAAAGUAAUUAAAUACUGGUAGACAGGAAAACUGAAGCAGAAUUGUUAAGUAAUUUGCACAAAGUCACAUAGUUAUAGUUGAGCAGGGUUUUACUUGUAGAAAACAUGGCUCAAGAGUCCAUGUUUUGCCUCCACUACUUUGCAGAGACAAUAUUUUGGGAGGCAAAGGAGUAAGUACGAAAAUUUUAAGAAAAGAUAGGCUUAUUCUUAAAAAAAAAUGGAGAGGCUUGGAAGGAGACACAAUUUGAAAAGGUAAGUAAUGAAUUUAUGUUUGUGAUAUAUUUCUUAUUUUUUUCCUCUCUUCUAUGCCAACUUAGGUUUAUUUCUUCCACUUUUAUGCUUUCAUUUAUCACUUGCCAUGAAUCCAAAUCCACCUAGCUAAUAAAUCUUUAUCAUGAUGUUAUGUAGGCUUUUCUGACUCACUAUUUUUAAUACCAGAUUCAUCCCCUUUAGUAUUCUCUAGUUUACUGAAUGACAGCCAAAGAUAUUUAAUCACUCAAAUAGCUUGGAGUCACCUUGACUUUCUUAUUUCCUUUCUUCUCCACUUUGGUAACCAAGAUUGUCUUUUUUUUUUUUAAUUGCAUUACUGAGUAUUGAACUCAGGGGCCCUCUUUACCACCGAUCCAUAUCCCAGACCCCCCACCCAUUUGUUUUGAAACAGGGUCUCACCAAGUGGUUGAGGAUGGAUUCAAACUUACCAUUCUGCCUUAGUUUCUCCAGUUUCUGAGAUUAUAGGUAUGAGCCACCCCUGGCAAGAUUAUUAGUUCUUUGAAACAUCUCUUAAAUCUAUUUUCUCUCCAUCCACAUUAUCAUUAUUUCUAUUCAGGCCUUCAUCUUUUCUGCCUUGAUCUGUUAGAAUAACAUCAUAUGAAAGGUUUCCUUGCCUGUGCAGUCACUGUUCUGUAAGGCAUCUCCAUAAUUUUUUUUUUUCUUAAUUGGCUGAGUUUGAUAUAGUGUAACAGUGUGGGCAACAUGCAUUUUAAGUAAUAGAGAAAUAGCCUAGAGCAGGCACUUUUGAGUAGCUUAAAUUGAGGUAAAGGUUACUGAUGAGGAUGUGGGUUUAGGAAUUAUUAACAUAAAGAGGAUAAUAAAACACUGAGAAACAAUACAGGCUUUCUGAGUAAGUCUUGAAAAAGCAUUGCAAAAAUCCAAGACUGAGCUUUGAAGGAUAUACUUCCUUCACUUAAUUUAGUGAAUCCUCAAGGAAAGACUAGCAAAACAAUAGUAAAAAAACUUUUGAGGUUGGGGUGGGGGGAUAUAGCUCAGUUGGCAGAGUGCUUGUCUAGUAAGCACAAAGCCCUGGGCUCAAAACCCAGCACCACAAGAAAAAAGAAAACUGAGGUAAGUAGGUAAGAAACUUGUUUACUUCUGUACAUUAGUUUAAAAAAAGUGAACUAGGGCUAAGGAUACAGCUCAGUGGUAUAAUUCAUGUAGCUUGUGCAAGGCCCUGGGUUCUAAUCCCAUCACCAAAAAAAAAUAAAAUAGGGCUGGGGCUAUAGCUCAGUGGCAGAGCACUUGCCUAGCAUGUGUGAGGUACUGGGUUCCAUUCUCAGCACCAUAUAAAAAUAAAACAAAUAAAGGCAUUCUGUCCAUUUACAACUAUAAAAAAUGAAAUAAUAUAAAGAAUGAGCUAGCUCUAUAUUUGUCCACCCAAUUAGCUCUCAAAAAGAAUAGAUGAAAAAAGCAAGUUGCAAAACAAUUUAUGUAUAAGAAACAUGUUUAUGUUUUCUGUGGUAGCCAUGUAUUAGUAUUGUUUUUAAAAUAGGAACAAUGAGCAUCAGGAAAGACCAAGUAUUGAGUAGUAGGCACCCGGGAAAAGGAAUUUUAUCUACAAUGAUUAAAAUUUUUCUGGAAAGGAUAUAUUUCUAUAUAUAUUUAUUAUAUUUGAAAGUCAAAACAAGGGCUGGGGAUAUAGCUCAAUUGG